rnacentral:tRNA from 1 species
GCCUUCGUAGUGUAGUGGUCAGCACGAUGGACGUGUGUAUUCCAGAUGUCCGUGGUUCGAAUCCCGGCGAGGGCA